rnacentral:rRNA from 1 species
AGAAUCAACGCUGGCGGCGUGCCUAACACAUGCAAGUCGAGCGCGAAAGGGGAGCAAUCCCCGAGUAGAGCGGCGAACGGGUGAGUAACGCGUGGGUAAUCUACCUCCGAGUGGGGAACAACAGCGGGAAACUGCUGCUAAUACCGCAUGACAUCGUCGAGCCUUCGGGCAUGACGAUCAAAGCCGGGGACCGCAAGGCCUGGCGCUUGGAGACGAGCCCGCGUCCGAUUAGCUAGUUGGCGGGGUAAUGGCCCACCAAGGCUCCGAUC